rnacentral:rRNA from 1 species
UACGUAGGGUGCAAGCGUUACUCGGAAUUACUGGGCGUAAAGCGUGCGUAGGCGGCUAUGUAAGACAGAUGUGAAAUCCCUGGGCUUAACCUAGGAACUGCAUUUGUGACUGCAUUGCUAGAGUGUGGUAGAGGGAGAUGGAAUUCCGCAUGUAGCAGUGAAAUGCGUAGAUAUGCGGAGGAACACCAAUGGCGAAGGCAAUCUCCUGGACCUGCACUGACGCUCAUGCACGAAAGCGUGGGGAGCAAACAGG